GUGUCAGCAGCCGCGGUAAUACGAAGGGUGCAAGCGUUACUCGGAAUUACUAAACGUAAAACAUACGUAAACGAUUGGUUAAGUCUGUCGUGAAAGCCCUGGGCUCAACCUGGGAAUUGCGAUAGAAACUGGCCAGCUAGAGUGUGUCAGAGGAUGGUGGAAUUCCCGGUGUAGCGGUGAAAUGCGUAGAGAUCGGGAGGAACACCCGUGGCGAAGGCGACCAUCUGGGACAACACUGACGCUGAGGCACGAAAGCAUAAAAAGCAAACAGGAUUAGAUACCCUGGUAGUCCACGCCCUAAACUAUGCGAACUGGAUGUUGGGCACACUUAGGUGCUCAGUGUCGAAGCUAACGCGUUAAGUUCGCCGCCUGGGGAGUACGGUCGCAAGACUGAA
rnacentral:rRNA from 1 species